GCUCAACCGAGGAAGUGCUUCGAAAACUGGUAAACUUGAGUGCAGAAGAGGAAAGUGGAACUCCAUGUGUAGCGGUGGAAUGCGUAGAUAUAUGGAAGAACACCAGUGGCGAAGGCGGCUUUCUGGUCUGUAACUGACGCUGAGAUUCGAAAGCAUGGGUAGCAAACAGGAUUAGAUACCCUGGUAGUCCAUGCCGUAAACGAUGAGUGCUAAGUGUUGGAGGGUUUCCGCCCUUCAGUGCUGCAGCUAACGCAUUAAGCACUCCGCCUGGGGAGUACGAUCGCAAGAUUGAAACUCAAAGGAAUUGACGGGGGCCCGCACAAGCGGUGGAGCAUGUGGUUUAAUUCGAAGCAACGCGGAGAACCUUACCAGGUCUUGACAUACCAUGAAAAGCUAAGAGAUUAGUCUUUCCCUUCGGGGACAUGGGUACAGGUGGUGCAUGGUUGUCGUCAGCUCGUGUCGUGAGAUGUUGGGUUAAGUCCCGCAACGAGCGCAACCCUUAUUAUCAGUUGCCAGCAUUCAGUUGGGCACUCUGGUGAGACUGCCGGUGACAAACCGGAGGAAGGUGGGGACGACGUCAAAUCAUCAUGCCCCUUAUGACCUGCGCUACACACGUGCUACAAUGGUCGGUACAACG
rnacentral:rRNA from 1 species